rnacentral:rRNA from 1 species
GCCGGCGAGCAUACCACGUUGAAAGCAUCGGAUCUCGUCCGAUCAUCGCAGUUAAGCAACGUUGGGCCCGGUCAGUACUUGCAUGGGUGACCGGCUGGGAAUACCGGGUGUCGCCGGCUUUA